GCAAGUCGAACGGCGGCACGGGUGCUUGCACCUGGUGGCGAGUGGCGAACGGGUGAGUAAUACAUCUAAACGUACCUUAUCGGGGGGAUAACGCAGCGAAAGCUGUGCUAAUACGCAUACGCCCUGCGGGGGAAAGCGGGGGGUCGAAAGACCUAGCGGGUUAGAGCGGCCGAUGCCUGAUUAGCUUGUUGGUGGGUAAAAGCCCACCAAGGCGACGAUCAGUAGCUGGUCUGAGAGGACGAUC
rnacentral:rRNA from 1 species